rnacentral:rRNA from 1 species
UCCAUACACCGAAAGAGUAUGUGGUGGAUGCCUUGGCAAUGGACGACGAGGAAGGACGUGGCCGGCUGCGAUAAGCUGCGGGGAGGUGCUGAGCAACCUUUGAUCCGCAGAUGUCCGAAUGGGGAAACCCAGCGCGCUUCAUAGUGCGUUACCAGUGCUUGCACUGGGGUGAACCUGGUGAAUUGAAACAUCUUAGUAACCAGAGGAAAAGAAAAAAAUGAUCAUUGUUUUGCUUUGGAAUUUCUUUCUCUUUUUCCCGUUUCUUUCUGAAAUUGGAAAUCGAGAUUGAAAAUUCCAUUGUCAAAGACAGUGUUUACAUUCCCUUAGUAGUGGCGAGCGAACAGGGAAGAGUCCAAACCGAAUUAGUGUAUCCCGUUUAUCGGGGUAAAAGCCCAUAAGGCGUUGCUAAUGCGGUGUUGAUGGGCUGUUAGUUUCCAUGUGUUUAUGGCGCGUGGCUAAACAUUGUGCGUUUGUUUAGUAGAAGAAGCUGGAAUGCUUAACCAAAGAGCGUAAGAGUCGCGUAUACGAAAGACAUGCAUGAUAUUAGUACUAACAACCAGAGUAGGGCAGGGCACGUGAAAUCCUGUCUGAAACAGGGAGAACUAUUAACAGUCGCGACUCACUUCGUGAGCCGCUCCCGGAAAAACGUAAAAGUAAAAACUAAAAACGCAAAGGUGUGGAGUGCGCUUCGCGCAUAUUUUAAAAAUAUGUCGCGUUAGCGACACCAUAGUUUUGCCUUUUGCCUUUUUCGUUUUGCGUUUAGGAGCGACGAACGGAGUGAGUCGCGACUCUCCCAAGACUAAAUACGACCAUUGACCGAUAGUGAACUAGUACCGUGAGGGAAAGGUGAAAAGUACCCCGGUAAGGGGAAUGAAAUAGACCUGAAACCGCAUACUUAUAUUGAGUAGACGCCGGUGCAAGCACCGGAAUUAACAAUUUCCAAUCUUCAAUUUUCAUAGAAGCAUCAAUGUUUCAAUUUUCAAACACGACACGACAUCGUUAGUGUUUGGAAAUUGGUCAUUGGUAAUUCAAUGGAAAUUGGGAAUUGGUCAUUGAAAAUUCCGGCGCUUGCGCCGGUUACUGCGUGCUUUUUGCAGAACGAACCACCGAGUUCGCUGUAGGCCGCUUAGGUUAAGGAACUAACGUUCCGGAGCCGUAGUGAAAGCAAGCGUUAAUAGCGCGAAUGCCAGUGCUUGCACUGGCAUGUGGCCUGCACGAGACCCGAAACCGAGUGAUCUAUCCAUGAGCAGGGUGAAGCCUCGCGAAAGCGAGGUGGAGGCCCGAACCCGUUGGCCGUGCAAUACCAUGGGAUGACUUGUGGAUAGGGGCGAAAAACCAAUCGAACUCGGCAAUAGCUGGUUCUCGCCGAAAUAGCUUUAGGGCUAGCCUCGUGAAUUAACAACGAGUGGUAGAGCACUGCAAGGGAGCUUCGGAAGCAAUUCUGAGCCCCUAGCAAACUCCGAAUGCUUGUUGCGUUAUCACGGGAGUCAGAACGCGGGGGCUAAGCUCCGCGCUCAAAAGGGAAACAGCCCGGACCGUCGUUUAAGGUCCCAAAAUUCUAUCUUAGUGGUGAAGGUGGUGAGGUUGCUCAAACAGCGAGGCAGUUGGCUUAGAAGCAGCCAUCUGUUAAAGAUAGCGUAACAGCUCACUCGUCAAGCGACCUUGCGCCGAAAAUACACGGGGCUCAAGAUAGAUACCGAAAACACGGACUCGUGCCUCACUUUUGUUCGGCACUCAUCCGACGAAGGCAAAAUGCAAAACGAAAAAUGCAAAAUAUUGGUAUCGCCUGCGGCGAUAUUAAAAAAAUGUCGCGUCAGCGACUCUAUUAUUUUGCAGUUUGCAUUUUGAUUUUUGAUUUAGAGUGACGAGCUAAAGCGAGACACGAGUGGUAGGCGAGCAUUUCACUCUGCGUUGAAGGUAAACCGUGAGGUUUGCUGGAGCGAGUGGAAGAGAGAAUGGUGGUAUAAGUAACAUGAACGGAGUGAGAACCUCCGUCACCGAAUAUCCAAGGUUUCCUGGGCAAUGUCGAUCAUCCCAGGGUUAGCCGGUCCUAAGGCGAGGCCGAAAGGCGUAGUCGAUGGACAGCAGGUUGAUAUUCCUGCGCCGGUUAUAGAGUGCGCAAGGCAGGACGGAAUUUCGCAGCCAGCCAGGACAUACGACUUAUCCUGCGCUUAACAUUAAUCGGGAUGCCUAGGCAAAUCCGGGCGUCCAUUCCAAACGGCGAAGUUAAGCGGGAGAGUGCGGUCGCAAGACCAAACCUCUGCCGGUAAAGAAGUUUCCCGGAAAAAUGUCGUGCGCUUAUUCUCUAUAGCCGCCCGUACCGAAAACCAACACAGGUGGAUUGGUGUAAGAGUACCAAGGUGAUCGGGAGAACCCUCGUUAAGGAACUCGGCAAAACAGCGUCCGUAAGUUAGCGAUAAGGGCUACCGGUGCAAGCACCGGAAUUAACAAUUUCCAAUCUUCAAUUUCCAUAGAAGCAUCAAUGUUUCAAUUUUCAAACACGACAUGACAUCGUUAGUGUUUGGAAAUUGGUCAUUGGUAAUUCAAUGGAAAUUGGGAAUUGGUUAUUGAAAAUUCCGGCGCUUGCGCCGGUUGCAACACAUGAUCCCUGGCGACUGUUUAUCAAAAACACAGGUCCCUGCGAACUCGUAAGAGUAUGUAUAGGGGCUGACGCCUGGCCAGUGUCGGAACGUUAAAUCUCGCCGUGAAAGCGGAGAGCCUAAGCGCCGAUGAACGCCGGCCGUAACUAUAACGGUCCUAUGGUAGAGGAAUUUACCGCAUUAAGUUUGCGGGUUUGCUGCCAUAGUAAAACUUCCCGCUAAGGCAGCGGGCUGCCGAUAAUAAUUAUUGUUGGCAGGGCUAUAUGCUGGAAACUCUGCAAGUAUCUCGUGGUACGAGAUAAAAUCAUGUAUUUUAUCCGUAAUAAUCCAACGAGUGAUGCAGACAAUCAGCAGGAAACCAGAAAUGGAAUCCUCAGAGACCAUACGCCAAGUAUCCGCGCAAAGGCGCGGUAAAGAUAUGGUCCGACCUCUAUGGCGACAUAGAGAGCGCGGCAGAAAUGACCGCGUCCAUUCAUAGCGAAUAGGUAACAAGCUCAUAUAUUAUGGCUUUUCAAGACAUAGUAUAAGUUCGAGCGAAAUUCCUUGGCACGUAAGUUGUGUCCCGCACGAAUGGCGUCACGACUGGGGAACUGUCUCAACGAGGGACCCGGUGAAAUUGCAUUGUCGGUAAAGAUGCCGCCACCCUGCGGCUAGACGGAAAGACCCCGUGAAGCUUCACUACAGCUUGGUAUUGAUUCGUCGAAUGUUUUACUCAGCAUAGGUGGGAGACUUUGAUGGUUGCCUUUCGGGGCAACCGGAGUCGCCUGUGAGAUACCACCUUGAAUGUUUGACGCAUCUAACGACGCGCAGUGAAACCUGCGCCCGAACAGUGCCUGGCGGGUAGUUUAUCUGGGGCGGAUUCCUUGACGUCCGCUAUUAAAAACGAUUAAAACACGCCGCCCGUGUUGUUAAUGCUUAGAUUAGGCUCGAAGCAUUGAUACGUUUUUAUAGCAACAGCGGACACUGGGGACAUAGGCUUGUAAAAACCUAUGCAAACUACACUUAUAUGCUGGAACAUCUGGUGUACUUAAGGAGCAAUCCAACAAGUGUUCCCGCCAUUGGCGGGAGCCAGACAAUCAGCAGGGAAAUAUUCGGGAAUUGGAAGUUGUGAAACACUCUCAAACGAAAGGGGAUUGAGAUGAAAGAGGUAAUUGCUAUUACGCUUGUUCUGGCAUUUAUUGCUGCGUUGGAAAUCACUAUAAAGCAGUACUUUUUUCGGCGCUAGCACCUUCAGGCGAAUCAAGGAUGAUUCGCCACAACUUCCAAUUCUCGAAUAUGCCCUCAACGACUGUACGUGUAGCUCCUAUAUUAAGCCAUUUAUGGUAUAAUAUAGGAUGAUGAUACAGUCUGACCUCCAUGGCGACAUGGAGAGGCAGGCAGAAAAAAGUAAUGACCUGCCCCCUCCUAGUCAUUCCGGCUUCAAGCCGGAAUCCACGACGUGGAUGCCGGAUCAAGUCCGGCAUGACGAACGAGCUGUAACAAAAGUGCCCAAAUCGUAACGGAGGAGCCUAUAAGGUCGGCUCAGCCCGGAUGGAAAUCGGGCUUUAGAGUGUAAAGGCACAAGCCGGCUUGACUGCAAGACGUACAUGUCGCGCAGACACGAAAGUGGAGCUUAGUGAACCGACCGUUCUCUUGUAGUAGAGCGGAAGAUCAUCGGAUAAAAGUUACUCCGGGGAUACAUUCCUGUGUCCCGCGGCUAUGGCAACAUAGCUGCUAGUACAUGGCUAAUAACGGUGAAACCCGCAUUAUUUGUGCCAAAUAAUGCCGGGCAAUACCGUGGGAAGUCAGAGGUUAUUGUGGUAAAAUGGCUCUAUGGAGCUUACAAAUCGCCAAAAAGAUAUCCUUUUGGGAACCCUUCUUGGUGAUGGGUAUUUGCAGAAGACAGGCGCGCAUAACGCCCGUCUAAGGAUUGAACAUUCAUUGAAGCAAAAGGCAUACGUUGAUUGGAAGUAUGAAGAAUUAGAAAACAUCUUUCGGUCAGAGCCUGUGUUUCUUCGGCGUGUUCAUCCUUCAUCGCAUCAAAUGUAUAGCUACAUUCGUUUGCAAAGUUAUGCUGAUUCGCUACUAGGGAAACUAAAACUGCGAUUUUAUAAGAAUGGCAGAAAAACUAUUCCCUUAGACAUAAAAAACAUUAUUGCUAAUCCACUUUCACUAGCGGUUUGGUAUAUGGAUGAUGGUUAUUAUGAUAAGCGAGAUAAAUCAGCUCACAUAUAUUUGCAGGCUUUUGAUGCGAGAGAGAUUCAGCUAAUAAUUAGCGGUUUCUCGCAACUUGGAAUUGAGUGUAAGGCUUAUUGUCGGCCAGAUCGAAAAGCUUGCCAACUUAAUUUUCGCAAUAUCCAUAAGAAUAAACUCUUAAGCAUGAUUGAACCACAUUUGAUUGCAGAAAUGCGAUACAAAUUACCUCUUGACCCCGUAACGACUGAUUCCCAGAUUGGUGUUUGAUUAUAAAUACCAGUGUAAGAUGAGAUAGUGAGGAUUAUAAGAAUUACAAUCACUAUCAUAUGCCGUGCUCCGGUAACUGUUUUAAAACAGAUGCCGGAUGAAGAUAUAGUCUACUCCUGAUAGUAAUAUCGGGGCUGUCACUAAUAAUAAAGUGAACAGGCUUAUCUCACCCAAUAGUCCACAUAGACGGUGAGGUUUGGCACCUUAAUACAUCGGGGUGCGCAAGGAGCGAUCCUUGAAGCAUUGAUUUAUAAGUCUUUCCGAAAUAAAAAAACAGAUAGAAAAUAUACCAGCUAAAAACGGCGAACUCUUACCUGCCUUGAUGCAAAAAUAAAAGGCAGCAGACAACGCCGUGGGAAGUUAGCGCAUUGCUACGCAAUGCUAAAUGCAAAAGUAAAAACGCAAAAAUCAAAAUAUAUGAGUCGCGCUGUUAGCGCGACACUAUAAUUUUGCAAUUUUCGUUUUGAACUUUGAGUUUAGCGAGCGAAGUGAGUGCUUGGCCCCGUAACGACUGACCCGAAAGGGGAGGCUCGCGAGUUAGUAAAUGAUAUUAACGCGGGCAAAAGGCUGGCUCUCAUAAAUAAAAAAUUGCGCUAUGGUUAUCAGCCUGAAGCGUGAUUAUGAGAUGAAGGCAUAGUCUACUCUUCCUGGAAACAGGAAGAAAAAUGACAGCGAUGUCGGCUCAACCUAUCCUGGGGCUGAAGCAGGUCCCAAGGGUUUGGCUGUUCGCCAAUGAAAAGGUUACGCGAGCUGGGUUCAAACCGUCGCAAGACAGGUUGGACCCUAUCUGUCGCAGGCGUGGAAACUUGAGGAGCGUCCUUCUUAGUACGAGAGGACCGGAAGGGACCAACCUCUGGUGUACCAGUUGUCUAGUUCUUAGGCAUUGCUGGGUAGCUACGUUGGGCUGGUGAUAAGCGCUGAAAGCAUCUAAGCGCGAAGCCCACUCCAAGAACAGGUUUCAUUAUGAGACUCCUGGAAGAUGACCAGGUCGAUAGGCGGAAGGUGUACGCACAGUAAUGUGUUCAGCCGAUCCGUACUAAUAAGUCCAGUUGUAUGAAAC